AAAAAAUACACUGCUGGAAGCAUAAUGCCUGGACUUUUCAUAUGGGGGAGCAGAAAUGGGCAGUGGUGGUCCCUACAAUAACCAAAACUGUUUUAAGCCUUGAAAUGGGGAAAGUGGCUAUUUACAACUCACUGUAGAUGGACAACAGUCUAAAAGCAGAAUGUGAAGAGGAGCUGUCACACAGAAUUUGGACCACACGUUAUGCUUUCCCGGAGGCCAGGAUUAGAACUAGUGAGUGUAUAUUAAAGAAACAGAUUUCGGUGAAAUGUUAGAAGAAGCCUUCUGAAGAUAUUGUCUAUUUGAAACAAACUGAUUUGGGAGAUCACAAAAUUGCAGAGCU